CGGCGGACGGGUGAGUAACACGUGGGUAACCUGCCUGUAAGAUCGGGAUAACUCCGGGAAACCGGGGCUAAUACCGGAUAAUUCAUUUCCUCGCAUGAGGAAAUGUUGAAAGGUGGCUUUUAGCUACCACUUACAGAUGGACCCGCGGCGCAUUAGCUAGUUGGUGAGGUAACGGCUCACCAAGGCCACGAUGCGUAGCCGACCUGAGAGGGUGAUCGGCCACACUGGGACUGAGACACGGCCCAGACUCCUAC
rnacentral:rRNA from 1 species